rnacentral:rRNA from 1 species
UUUGAUCAUGGCUCAGAACGAACGCUGGCGGCAGGCCUAACACAUGCAAGUCGAACGCUGUAGCAAUACAGAGUGGCAGACGGGUGAGUAACACGUGGGAACAUACCCUUAGGUUCGGAAUAGCUCAGGAAACUUGAGGUAAUACCGGAUAAGCCCUUCGGGGGAAAGAUUUAUCGCCAUUGGAAUGGCCCGCGUCUGAUUAGCUAGUUGGUGGGGUAAUGGCUCACCAAGGCGACGAUCAGUAGCUGGUCUGAGAGGAUGACCAGCCACACUGGGACUGAGACACGGCCAGACUCCUACGGGAGGCAGCAGUGGGGAAUAUUGGACAAUGGGCGAAAGCCUGAUCCAGCCAUGCCGCGUGAGUGAAGAAGGCCUUAGGGUUGUAAAGCUCCUUCAGCGGGGAAGAUAAUGACGGUACCCGCAGAAGAAGCCCCGGUAACUCCGUGCCAGCAGCCGCGGUAAUACGGAGGGGGCUAGCGUUGUUCGGAAUUACUGGGCGUAAAGCGCGCGUAGGCGGACUUUAGUCAGGGUGAAAUCCCGAGGCUCA